CACUGGGGAAUUGAUCCUUCACAGUGAAAGACCCCCGGAGCAGGGAGACCCUCACUCAAGUCUCAAGAGGACGGACCCCCAAAGAACUCACAAGAGACU
rnacentral:pre_miRNA from 14 species